rnacentral:rRNA from 1 species
GGGGCCCGCACAAGCGGAGGAACAUGUGGUUAAUUCGAUGAUACGCGAGGAACCUUACCUGGGCUUAAAUGCAGAGUGCAUGAAGUGGAAACACUUCUUCCCUUCGGGGCUCUUUGCAAGGUGCUGCAUGGUUGUCGUCAGCUCGUGCCGUGAGGUGUCGGGUUAAGUCCCAUAACGAGCGCAACCCUUAUCGUUAGUUGCCAGCGGGUAAAGCCGGGAACUCUAGCGAAACUGCCGGUGUAAACCGAGAGGAAGGUGGGAUGACGUCAAAUCAGCACGGCCCUUAUGUCCAGGGCUACACACGUGUUACAAUGGCCGGUACAGAGGGCAGCUACCUGGAGACAGGAUGCGAAUCUCGAAAGCCGGUCUCAGUUCGGAUCGGAGUCUGCAACUCGACUCCGUGAAGCUGGAUUCGCUAGUAAUCGCGCAUCAGCCAUGGCGCGGUGAAUACGUUCCCGGGCCUU